rnacentral:rRNA from 1 species
UAAACGAUGCCAACCAGUAAUCCGUCUGAGUUCCUUAAAUGACUCGACGGGCGACUUCCGGGAAACCAAAGUUUUUAGGUUCCAGGGGAAGUAUGUUUGCAAAGAUGAAACUUAAAGAAAUUGACGGAAGGGCACCACCAGGAGUGGAGCCUGCGGCUUAAUUUGACUCAACACGGGAAAACUCACCCGGCCCGGACACUGGAAGGAUUGACAGAUUGAGAGCUCUUUCUUGAUUCAGUGGGUGGUGGUGCAUGGCCGUUCUUAGUUGGUGGAGCGAUUUGUCUGGUUAAUUCCGAUAACGAACGGGACUCUAGCCUACUAAAUAGAUCGUCGGCUUACAAACGCUGAUGAGACUUCUUAGAGGGACAGGCGGCGAUUCAGCCGCACGAAACAGAGCAAUAACAGGUCUGUGAUGCCCUUAGAUGUCCGGGGCCGCACGCGCGCUACACUGAGGUGAUCAGCGUGCAUUUUCAGCCUACUCUGCCAAGAGUGGGAAACCCAAUGAACCUUCUUCGUGAUUGGGAUAGGAGAUUGUAAUUAUUCUCCUUGAACGAGGAAUUCCCAGUAAGCGCGAGUCAUAAGCUCGCGUUGAUUACGUCCCUGCCCUUUGUACACACCGCCCGUCGCUACUACCGAUUGAAUGUUUUAGUGAGGUCUUCAGACUGGCCGGCGCAGCUGCUCUCGUAGUAGCAGCGCUGUGUUUGGGAAGAUGCCCAAACUUGAACAUUUAGAGGAAGUAAAAGUCGUAACAAGGUUUCCGU